rnacentral:lncRNA from 1 species
AUCCUGGCUUGAUUCCUUGGGUUUUUACUCAAAAUACUUGAAUUCAUCUCUUAAUAUCUACAUAGCGUGAAAUCACUCCUACAAGGCUUAAAACACAUAUUUAGUGCAAAACACUAGCGAUUAAAGCUCAAACUCAAUUAAAGUGUAGUAAAUUAGAGUGUAAUAAGCGACUAAAUACACAAUUAUAGUCUAUCAUCAAUACCCGAUACUUAAACCAUUGUUCGUCCUCGAGCAAUCAAACUACAUUUUAUAUAGACACGACCUUUUUAAAUAGCUCUGCUAACUCAUCAUACUAAGAAUAGUUAAAAUAGACUAAGCACAAGAGCGUAACAUCUUCCCCUCAAGAUUUGACUCACAAGUACCACGCAUUAUUCACAACCCACCCACUUAUUGUAACAUAGAGGUCACUGAAAUUACCUUUCCUUCAUUAAUCAAGUGCCCUUGUCCUUAUUUUUAGACUUAAGUCCCUCAUGAAAACUGUCUAGCAGAUCCACAGCUGGAAAGAGUCAAAUUUUUUAUAUUUUUUUGAAACAACUACUAUACUAGGAACGAGUACUACAGGUAAGCUAAGAUAGCACAGAAUAUCACCCCAAACAAUCUCCUCACCAUACUUUUAAAAUUGUGCAAUCUCCUCAAUACACAAUAUAAAUAACAAGAGAGUAAAAGAGACUCUCUAGUAUGCCAAAGACCGAAGUAUUAGCAGCUCACAGGAUACUCAAACUUCUCCCAGGUAUGAUCCCAUGUGCGGGCACCUCAUAGGUAGUUUCAACCACCUGCUCGACUUUACACUCGCGUAUGGCUUUGACUCUAUGCUCGUACUCCUACAAAACGAAAAAAUAAUACUACAAAAAAUAAUAAAGUAACAAAAUAAAAAAAUUAGCACAAUAAAAUAAAAUAAUAAAUAAAAGAAAAAAAUAAAAUUAGGUUGUCUCCCAAUAAGAGCUUGAUUUAACGUCACCGUCGCGGCACGACACCAUCACUUUCACCACUUUUCCUUCCACUUUGAGGAUAUCAAUUGAGCCUCCAAUUUUACUUCAAUUUUUUUGUCACGUUCCUGAGGCAGUGGUAUGAAAUAAAGGAACCAAGUAAAUAAUAUCACAUUUUUCACUUCUUGGAUUUUAUGUGAAGGAUGUCGUUUUGCCCCCCUGGUAUAGCAAAUUUCAGAAUGUAAACAUUUUGUUCCUCACAUUGACUCCUCCAUAUUCUUGACUGGAUCAAUUCCCAUGUCAGCAACCAAACACAAUGUUGAAAAGUAUUUAGAAUGAAGUCCAAUACGCUCAAAUUCCAAAACUGCAUUAUUUUUACAUCCUCAACUUUGCACUCUUCGUCAACCUUGGCAUCAUUAAUAAUAUUCUGGUCGAAUACUUGGGAUUCCUCUUUUCGCUCCACAAGCUGGCCAGUAUACACAACAAUUAGUUGUAAGUCAUCAGAUGCCUCAACCUUUUUAUUCAAUUGAGCUUGCAUGUUAUGAAUAUCUGAGUCAAAUUGGUCUAUCUCCUUCCGAGCUCAGUUCUUUCGUCUAUUAGCUGUUCUGUCAUAUUUGAAAGACCAUCACGGAGAAACUCAUGAGAUUUCAAUAGUUGAGCUUGUUCCUCUAGCCCAGAUUGACUCACUAUAUCUGCCUCUUCAAAAUUAUUUUCUGGUGGGAACUCACUCUAUUUAGUCACUUCCUCCGCUUCGAACUUCCUUCUCAUGAUUGAUGCACUAAUUCUUUGUGAAGCCUUUCGAUUUUUAUCUUGUUUCUCGACUACUUGCCUUAUCAUCAUAUGAUUUUGCUCGACUACUUGCCUCACUAUGUCCAAAAUAUGAGUCAUGCUUUCCAUAUCCUCCAUUUCCAUGCUCCUAUUACACUCACAAACAUUAUUAUUAGAAACAUUAUAAUAACAACUCUGAGAAGAAUAAUAAGAAUUGGGACAACCAUCCCAAUGGCCACCUUGACCACCACACAUGUUACAAAAAUUCCACCCAUAAGAUUGAUUUUCACAAUUUUGUCACAAGUGUAUCCUGCACAAUAUGGGAAAAGAUCACCCUAAUAAGAAUAACCAAUUAUCAUUCCAAGAUGACAUAUCAACAAAGAUAGUAAAUAUUAAACUAAAGUAAAAAUUUAAAGAGUUGAAUAGACAAAGAGUAAAAAUAUAAUCUAGUAGAGUAGUUAAUUUUUAAGACUCCGGCAACGGCACCAAAAACUUGUUGCUCUCCAACGCACACGCAAGUAUACAUGGUCGACACGUAAUAUAGGAUUGUAUGUCCAGAUAUCGUACCUACAGGGACUUGUGAGUAACUAUCAACUAAAUUAAACUAAAUAAUUAAUCAAUUCAAGCGAAUCCUACCAUAUGAAUAUUUAAAUAAAGAAAAUCUAUAGUAGUAAACUAAGAGAUUAAAGAAAACAAGUCGGCCAAUUAUAGAGAUAAAUUCAAUAUGAGUGAAUAUUCUAGAGCUAUGUGACACGUCCCGCAUCCAUUCCGCCCCAAAUCUGCGCGCAGGCCUGUCCAGCAUGCGCCCAGCACCCCAGCACACGCCAGUGCCAGUGCCCCAACACUCGCCUGUGCCAGCUCCCAGCGCCCAGCACGUGCCUACGCCCAGCGUCCAGCGCCCGCGCCCAGCACGCGCGCGCCCUGUCGGCCAACGGCUAGAAAACGGCCAGCACUGCCCAACGGCUAUAUUCUGUCAGCCAUGCCCAACGGCUAGGCAGCCAGUUGUGCCCCAACGGCCAGUCUGCCAGCAACGGUCCAGAUUGGCCCCAACAGCCAAAACGGCUAACCCAACAGCUAGUACCCCUCUUGUGAAUAUUAGGGACUUGUAUAAAUAGCUUAGCACUUAGCAUUUGUUAGGCAUCCAGACGUAUCCAGAAAUUAAAUCACAUAAGCCAUUGUAUAGAAUUCUCAAAGGCAAUAUAAACUCAUUUUCCCUAUAUUCUUUCUUUGUUCACUGACCAACGUCCCUUAGUCCGAUUUUAGGCAAACAAGGCUUACUAGACUGCCAAUUUCGCAGGCAGAUUCAUUCUAGCGCCGCACGACACUUAGCUUGAGUUCUAAGGCCGUGACAACGUGGUAUCAGAGCAGGUUCUAAGGAUUAAACAAUGGCCAGCGACGGAGAAAUGUUCGCAUCUUGCAGUGCCGAAGUCCUUGCAAACGUUGCAAAAAGAUCCAAGAGUACAUUCCGCAGGCAGAAUCAUCUAGCGCCGUACGACACUUAGCUUGAGUUCUAAGGCCAUAACAACGUGGUAUCAGAGCAGGUUCUAAGGAUAAACAAUGGCCAGCGACGGAGAAGUUUUUGCAGCCCACACUGCUGAAGUCCUUGCAAACGUUACUAGAAGGUCCAAGAGUAAAAAGACAACCAAGAAGGCAGGAAAAAUGCCAGUAGAUACUGUCCAAAGCGAUGCUGCCAACUUUCUAACACCAGAAAUGAGUGAUUGGGAACGAGAAGAGUUACCCACAAAUAUCACUCCAGAGUUGGAAUUGGUUACCAGGGUCGAGAGUGCCCACAGAUCAGCCGAAGUGCUGGGCCAUCGCUUCAACAAGUUCGAAGGCAACUAUGAAUCCUUCAAAGAGUCUUUACUCGAGGAAAACGAUAACAUCCGCAAAGACAUCAAGACUAUGAAUCCUUCAAAUAGUCUUUACUCGAGGAAAACGAUAACAUCCGCAAUGACAUCGUCGAGCAGCGAGAAGCACAGGAAGGAGCACAAGCUUCCAUCGAAAAGCUCACAAAUCUGGUAGAAGCCUUGAGCGCCAGAUUGAAUAAGCUCGAGGAAGAUGCACGCCAUGAGAGACAUGCUGCUCCGAUCAUAGAGCGCGAAGUAAGGAUCGACGCUCCCAAGCCACCCAUCUUUAAAGGCGUCCGUGAUGCCCAAGAAGUUGAGAGUUUCCUGUGGCACCUUGAAAAUUAUUUCAAGUUCAGCAGGAUAGGCAGCGGCGAGUUAAAGAUCCAAACAGCCGUGAUCUACUUGACGAGAACGCAAUGCUGUGGUGGAGACGUAUGGAUCAGGACAUCGGCAAUGAACUUUGCACGAUCAGCACAUGGGAGCAGUUCAAAGCAGAGUUCAAAAAAGAUGUUCUUUCCCAGCAAUGUCUUCGAUGAAGCCAUGAGGAGGUUACGAGAAUUGAAGCAUACAGGUUCCAUAAAGGCCUACAUAAGGGAAUUCACUACCGUUACGCUUCAAAUUCCGGAACUCACCCCAAGAGACUCAUUGUUCUAUUUUAAAGAUGGACUACAGGGCUGGGCCAUGAGGUUCUAUAAAGGCCUACAUAAGGGAAUUUACUACCCUUACGCUUCAAAUUCCCGAACUCACCCCCAGAGACUUGUUGUUCUACUUCAAAGACGGACUACAAGGCUGGGCCAAAAUGGAGUUGGAACGCCGGCAAGUUUCCACUCUCAAUGAGGCUAUCUCACAAGCUGAGAGUCUAACUGACUUCAAGCAGGAUGGAGGCACGGUGAAGGAGGUACGGAGUAACCAUGCUAAUAGCGGGGGAGAACGUGAAAGGAGCAAAGACUCCCGUUUUCCCAGAAAGUCACUUAGACAAGGGCUUGCCGAGAAGGCAAGUCAGCCACACCAGCAACGCAAGGAGACAAAAUGCUACAUCUGCGGAGGGUCGCAUUGGUACGAAAAAUGCCCACAGAUGAAGAGCAUUGGUGCCAUCAUAAAAGACCACCAACAGAAGGAGGUCAAGGAACAAGGUAACAGUUCUGAAGACUCAGCACAUGUAGGCAUGAUCGGACUUUGCGCUACUACCACUCAUCCUACCGGACAACUGAAGGCUUUCCCCACACAGUACAUGGACAUGACCAUCAAUGGCAAAUCAGUACGUGCCUUGGUGGACACUAGAGCAGAAGCCAAUGUUAUGACCCAGACGGCAUCAACAAAAUUGGGUCUUAAUUACAGCCCAAGCAAGAUUCGGCUCAAAACGGUUAAUGCCCCACCUACGCCUAUAAACGGUAUUGCCAGCGGCCUAGACAUCACUUUAGGCAACUGGCGAGGCAAGACCAAUUUUGCCGUGGCUCCCUUGGACAUUUUCGAGGUUGUACUUGGUCAGGAGUUUUUCCCAAUGCCCUCUACGCCUAUAAACGGUAUUGCCAGCGGCCUAGACAUCACUUUAGGCAACUGGCGAGGCAAGACCAAUUUUGCCGUGGCUCCCUUGGACAUUUUCGAGGUUGUACUUGGUCAGAAGUUUUUAUGCCAAUGCCCAUCAGUUAUAUCCCCGUACUUCCAGAAAAUGGUUAUACUGGAAAAGGAAGGAUCGUGUAUGGUGCCAUUGGUCGAUAUGCCCAAGACAGCGCAACUCUCCCAUCUUUCGGCCAUGCAGAUUGAGAAAGGCCUUAAGAAGGGAAAACCAACAUAUCUAGCAACCAUCGAGAGUUUGAGUGAAACUAAUGGUGCCCCAGAGCCUAUUCCGCCUUGCGUUAAAAGGGUACUGGACGAUUGUGAAGACGUCCUGCCCGACGAGUUACCAAGGCAACUUCACCCGAAGAGUGAGGUGGAUCACCGGGUCGAGUUAGAGCCGGGCAAAAGCAGUAUGGUGGCUGACACCAUAAAACCAUCCAAAGCACCAUUUGGAGCACCGGUGCUUUCCAGGAACAGAGUAAGCCGCGGGUAUGGAGAACACCGUUCGAGCUUGCUAUGGGUCAAAAAUCGCAAAACCCCACUCACUGCCAGCAGCAUUGGAAGGGAGGAGUUUGGGUGCCCGUCAAUUUGCCAAAGGAUUCGAAGAGCAGUUAGAUACUGCAAAGUCUCACCUAGCCAAAGCGGCUAAGUGGAUGAAGAAUUUACCGACCGGUCGCGACGCCCAACAGAUUACAAUGUUGGAGACUUCGUGUUGGUGAAAUUCAACUUGAGAUAGUUUAAGGCACUAAGGGAAUUAAAUCCCAAACUAGUGCACAAAUAUGAGGGACCUUUCCGAAUUCUUGCUCAGGAAAAAUGCAAGAUCUCUUAUCGGUUAAAGCUACCUCCAAUUCUCAAGAUUCAUCCGGUCUUCCAUGCAAGUGUUCUCAAGCCAUAUUUUGAGGACAAGGAGGAUCCGACUAGGUACGAAGACCUAUGGCAGUUUCGGGACAAAGUAAGGAUGCCCAGACGGAUGCGCCAAGGUCGUCGCACCAUCAGCUGGGGGAGCAUGAGACAUCCCGCACUGAGUUCCGACGGAUGCAGUAUGCACCGAGGUCGUCGCAUCAUCAGGCGGGGGAGCAUGACAUGUCCCGCGUCCAUUCCGCCCCAAAUCUGCGCGCAGGCCUGUCCAGCACGCGCCCAGCGCCCCAGCACACGCCAGUGCCGACGCCCAGUGCCCAGCUCCCGCGCCCAGCACGCGCGCGCCCUGUCGGCCCGCCCUGUCGACCAACGGCUAGAAAUCGGCCAGCACUGCCCAACAGCUAGUCAGCCAGUUGUGCCCCAACGGCCAGUCUGCCAGUAAUGGUCCAGACUGCCCCAAUAGCCAGAAACGGCUAGCCAAACGACUAGUGCCCUCUUGUGAAUAUUAGGGACUUGUAUAAAUAGCUUAGCACUUAGGAUUUGUUAGGCAUCAAGGCAUAUAGCCGGGCAACUCAUAUAUUCAGCCAUAUACAUUGCAUAGCAUUCUCGCACACGCCAGUGCCAGCGCCAAGCGCCCCAACAAUCGCCUAUGCCAGCUCCCAGCACCCAUCACGCGGCUACGCCACCGUCCAGCAUCCAGCGCGCGCGCCCUGUCGGCCAACGGCUAGAAAACGGCCAACACUGCCCAACGGCUAGGCAGCCAGCUGUGCCCCAACGGCCAGUCUGCCAGCAACGGUCCAGACUGGCCUCAACAGUCAAAAUGGCUAACCCAACAGCUAGUACCCCUCUUGUGAAUAUUAGGGACUUGUAUAAAUAACUUAGCACUUAGCAUUUGUUAGGCAUCCAGACAUAUCCAGAAAUUCAAUCACAUAAGCUAUUGUAUAGAAUUCUCAAAGGCAAUACAAGCUCAUGCCCUAUAUUCUUUCUUCGUUCACUGACCAACGUCCCUUAGUCCGAUUUUAGGCAACAAGGCUUACUAGACUGCCAUAUUCCGCAGGCAGAAUCAUCUAGCGCCGUACGACACUUAGCUUGAGUUCUAAGGCCGUAAAAUAUGGGCUAGCUAACAAUCUCGUUGAGUUUUCCACUUAAAUCGUCUAAUUAAUUUAUCUGAUUUAUUGGUUGAGAGUAUCACGACCCAAAAUCCACUAAGGGUCGUGAUGGGGCUGGACAUUGCUGCCAGGCAAGCCAACCAAAUUACUUGAUUAAGUUCUCAUUUUAAUAAUUUUGAAAACUAAGAUUUUCCUUCGAUUUACUAGUAAACGACAACCUUUACACCGUAGAUAAAAGAAUAUUCGGAAGUAAAUACAAGAUACCCAAUAAUCAUCCCAGAAUCUAGUAUCACAAGUGCAUGAGCAUUCACUAAAAAGGAAAAAAAAUGCAGCAACCAUUCGGAAUUCAAUAUUAGAUAGAAAAUAAAUACAGAUAACUGAAAGAGACUGUUAGCUGGGGGUCGCCUCGAGAAGUGCAACUCACCUAAGUCUCCAUAUCAACCAUGUUGCCAUGCCUAGUAGGCCACUAGAGAUACAUAUGUUGUGCAACAAAAAAGCACAAAGGUGUAGUAUGAGUACGAAAAAAACGUGUACCCAUGAGUAUCCCAUCUAAUCUCGAAGAAGUAGAGACGAGAUAGUCGACUUAGACAAUUACUAGUGGUCCAAUAACGAUGUAUCCAUAAUAUAUUAAAUCGUGAAUUUUUAUAAACAUGAUUAUGAUUCAGUGGGUUGCUAUAAAUAAACAAUUAUUUCUUUUACAGGAAAAUAUUCAUUUUUAUCAUUUAUACAUAUUUUCUUAAGCCAGGAAAAGGUAGCAACAACUUUAAUAAGUUACAAGGCAAGUAAUACAAGCAUGCGCAAAUCAUGUUGAGGCGACGACCCGAUCCAACAGAAAUAAAUUGUGCUCUGCGGAGCAUCAACGGUGCCCCCAUAGAUGCAUCUAUUUAAUCUGUCUAGGCGUUCGGCCUAUUCCAAAAAAUAAACACACACAGACAGUCAAUCAAGAAGUCAACACGGGGCAAUUAUCCAAAGAAAGCCAAGUCCUCUUUUAACUAUUUAAGAAAAUGAAGUUUAAUCCUUUUAGAAAUUCAUUUUGCUAAUUCAAUGGGAUAUGAGCAAUUCAAGAUGUCAAUAAAUUUACAAAUAAUCCAAGUAUAGCAUGCUCUUGGGUCCUAAACUGUCACACCUCCUUUUCUUUGCUGCACACCCCCGCAAAGGGAGCGUAAAGGAGUUUUUCCAAUUAAAGAACAAUCGAAACGUGAUUUAGUUAUUAAUUAUUUCAGAGUUGCCACUUAGGAGAUUAAUGGUGUCUUAAGUCACCGAUUUGAAUCCCUAAUCGAGGAAAAGGAUGACUCUGUUACAGUCUGCGAACCAGAAAUCCGAGUAAGGAAUUCUGUUAACCCGGAAAAAGGUAAUAUGCAUUCCCAGGUUCCGUGGGUCUAGCACGGUCGCUUAACUACUGUAUUUGAUUUUAUCUGAUUCUAAUACAUGCUAGCUUAUGUGCCUUUUAUUUAUAUACCGCUUUUACCAUUCUUUAUUUUAAAAGACUUGCGACGUCGUAAAAAUACGUCGCCGACCACGUCGCCAUCAAGGCACCCGUGUUAGUCAACAUAUUUGCCAUUAUUUAUUUUAAAGGACUUGCGACGUUGUGAAAACAUGUCUCGGACCAUGUCGCCAUCAGGGCAUCCGUGGUCGUUAACACAUUUCUACUUCGUUGAGAUUUGAAUUUGGGUUGCAUCAAUGCACACCCGAGUUUAAGAAAGUAAUUUAAUUAAAUCGCGCUUAAAGGUUCUAGCGUAAUAUUGUUUGGGAAAGGCCGUUGAAAUUCGCUAAACAGCCUUCCAAAUUCUAAUCAUUUUUAAUCACCAAUUACUGAGGGGCCCACAUUUAUUUUUGUUCGGUGAGGCUCGUCUCAUAUUUUUAAAAUUUUUUUUAGUUCAUUAUUUAUUCUAUAAGAAUUAUGACGUCGUGAAAAUGCGUUUCGAACUCCGUUUCCAUCAAGGUACCCGUGGUUGUCUAACACAUUUCGAUUUCGUCGAGAUUUAGAUUUGGGUUGCAUCAAUGCACACCUAGUUUAAGAAAGUAAUAUUAUUAAAUACGCGCCUAAAGCAACUACUCAUUUGCACUUUGCCAGGGCCAUGAAAUAUACUAAAUUGCACGCCUCGGAUUCUAAGAAUCAAUACAGAAUUAAAAUAAGGGCCAGUAAUUUUAUUUGGCGCGACGCUCCUCGAUUCCCAUCUGGCAAGGUCAUCCGUUUGUUUUUAACAGAAUAUAUCAAUAUUAUGAUUUGCACUAAAUUACACUUAUUAUUUACAAAGCAAGAAAAGUGACGUUACAUUGCAUAUUAUUUCCUUACGUCGUUUGCAUAAGCAAAAUAAAUAACUUUGCUAAAGACAAUUUCCAAUAUGCUAUUUAGAUCAAAUUCAGUUUUUUUUUAAAAAGAAAAAAAACAAAUAAAACAAAUUCUAACCUAUACAACUAUGUUCUCAAACCAGUAGCUUAAUGGACCCUUCAUAAAUAAUUUACCAAGUUAAACAACUAACAAUCUACUUUUAACAACAACAAAAAACAUAACUAAAGAAUUAACUAAUCAAAUAGGGACAAUUUCGUUUCAGUACGAACAGUAAAGAACAAAAAACAAAGAGUCCAUUCAUAAUAUCAAGAGGAACAGUUCUGGAAUUCAAAGAGCAAAUAAAGUUUUAGAAUUGAACCUUUAUAACUGCGUGUUGUUCUUGGAACAAUGAACCGGAAAAAACAAAACUCCAGGCCAGAUCUACGGUUGACGAACUCGACGGAUCGGAUACGGUGACCUCGACAGAUUCAACUCGACUUUGAACCAGCGAGAAGCUUGACUCGAUUAAGACACUUUAGCUAUAUCAAAGACUGUUUUGGAGGUGAGGAGUUGGGCAAAAGAGCUGGAUUUUUGAGCUCUUAUCGAAGCUUCUAACCAGUUUUCAUGGCUCCUCGGAGAUCGUCAUCGCCAAGCCACCGCCGGCGAAGAAACCCGGCGUUAUUUGUAUCGUCUUCUGCUGGUUCUGCGUUCAAAGCCAAGGAAACGCUGAUGGAUGUGAGGAAGAUGGAGUACGGGGGUGCCAAUGAUUGCUGCAGCUUUUGGCGUUUUUCUUUUUUCUUUUGCUUUUGUGUAUUUUCGUCCUUUUUUUUUUUGUAUUUGGUUGUGUGCGUUUAUAUAGAGUGCGUAAAUAUUAUGUGGGGGAGUUUUAUUUGAGGGAAAGUAUUAUGUGAGGUAAUAUUUGGGUGAAAGUUUUAGGUGGGGAAUAUUUUGCGG